CGCUAAGAAGCUAAACAUUGGAUAAAGCAUUGGCCUUUUAAGCCAAAAGUUGGUGACUCCCGACCACCCUUAGUGA
ensembl:Mt_tRNA